rnacentral:rRNA from 1 species
AACCUCCGCAAUGUGAGAAAUCGCGACGGGGGGAUCCCAAGUGCCAUUCUUAACGGGAUGGCUUUUCUUAAGUGUAAAAAGCUUUUGGAAUAAGAGCUGGGCAAGACCGGUGCCAGCCGCCGCGGUAACACCGGCAGCUCUAGUGGUAGCUGUUUUUAUUGGGCCUAAAGCGUUCGUAGCCGGUUUGAUAAGUCACUGGUGAAAUCCUGUAGCUUAACUGUGGGAAUUGCUGGUGAUACUGUUGAACUUGAGGUCGGGAGAGGUUAGCGGUACUCCCAGGGUAGAGGUGAAAUUCUGUAAUCCUGGGAGGACCACCUGUGGCGAAGGCGGCUAACUGGAACGAACCUGACGGUGAGGGACGAAAGCUAGGGGCGCGAACCGGAUUAGAUACCCGGGUAGUCCUAGCCGUAAACGAUGCGGACUUGGUGUUGGGAUGGCUUUGAGCCGCUCCGGUGCCGAAGGGAAGCUGUUAAGUCCGCCGCCUGGGAAGUACGGUCGCAAGACUGAAACUUAAGAAUU